rnacentral:rRNA from 1 species
AUGGUUCAUUGUGAUGUUCCAGUUGAUAACAGGAAAUUGUGGAAGCUCAAAAUCCCUCUAAGAGUGAAGAUUUUCCUCUGGUUUCUUAACAGAGGAGUCAUCCUAACUAGAGACAAUCUGGCACGACGAAACUGGCAUGGUUCCAAGACAUGUGUCUUUUGCCAACAUGACGAGUCUAUUAAACACUUAUUUUUUGAGUGCAAGUUCGCUCGGGCAGUUUGGGCCAUAGUUCAAGUAGCUUCGAAUCUAUACCCACCACGUAGUGCACGGAACAUGUUCGGUAACUGGUUGCGGGGUAUUGAUAAACAAUUUUCUGCACAUAUUCUUGUGGGAGCGGCGGCCUUAUGCUGGGCACUGUGGCUUACCAGGAAUGAUGUGAUUUUUAAUAACAAAUGUGUCUCAUCUCCUAUGCAGGUUAUUCAUGUGUGUACACGAUGGCUCCGUACUUGGUCUAUCCUGCAGAGGCCGGAGGACAUAGACCUUUUUAUGAUGGCGUCUACAUGGCUGGAGCAUACGGCCAGGGAGGUUUUCUACCCCCAUGGAUGGCGGUGUGACCUACGGAUAGGAUCUGCCACUCCUUAUGCUGGACAUGUUUUUUUUCGAUUGACAUUGUAUCAAAUUAUUUUUGCUUUUAGGGUAUUCUGGAAUUUUUUGGCUGUGUGCAUCUAG